UACGCAUUUGCGCUGCUACAACAAGGAAUUGCCACGCGUGUACGGGGAAUGCGUACUUGCGCACCAUGCAGUUAUGUGCGCUCCUGAUCAUAUGUAUAGUAUAUUGUACAAUAAAUGCUAUAACAUUUAAGUCGUAUUGUUAGGUCUUUUUUAAUCAUAAAUUUCUAAGUUCAUUCCUGCCGACAGUUGGGGCAGAGACUGUCAUACGCUCUAGGUCACACUCACAGCCAGACGCGGCGCAACAGUGAAAGAUUUACAAAUGUGACAAAAGGUCUUCUGUGUGUCAAUUAAUUCCUACAUAGAGCUUUAAUCCCGUUUACAUGGAAAGCUGUAGUUAUUGUGCCCCUGACAAUUCCAAAUUUCUAUUUGCAGCAAACUGACAAACAGAAUAAGUCCAGGACACUGGAAAAUACUUGAAAAACAUGGAUGUUCCUCAUCAGAUUGGUUCUGUGGACUGUGGUGUGUUCAUGUUGAUUGUUGUCACGUCACGAAUCGGGGAAACAAAGGAUUUAUUGGGGAAACCAGCUAGAAACACGGGACAAUAGAAGUAGCGACUUAAAUGACAUGAUUGGGAAAACAUAUUUUGAAGCGGAGUUAAAUACAUAGGACUAAUGAAAACAACUGGAAACAGCGAAUGACAUCGGGGUUCCACACGAGGUUAACGAGGGGGCGUGGCACACGGGAGGAGCGGACAAGCGGCGCAUGACAAUUUGAGUUGCAGGGAUUUGACAAAAACAUCCUUUUAGAAAUGCGUGAGGAAGGUCAAGACUCUGGUCUCCAGCUCACCGCUCUCUGUUAUAUUUCCAUAGCCAUGUUGUCC